rnacentral:rRNA from 1 species
UACGUAGGGGGCGAGCGUUGUCCGGAAUUACUGGGCGUAAAGGGCGCGUAGGCGGCCUGUUAAGUCGAACGUGAAAUCCCCGGGCUCAACCCGGGAACUGCGUCCGAUACUGGCAGGCUUGAAUUCGGGAGAGGGAUGCGGAAUUCCAGGUGUAGCGGUGAAAUGCGUAGAUAUCUGGAGGAACACCGGUGGCGAAGGCGGCAUCCUGGACCGAGAUUGACGCUGAGGCGCGAAAGCGUGGGGAGCGAACAGG